rnacentral:rRNA from 1 species
GAGUUUGAUCGUGGCUCAGAUUGAACGCUGGCGGCAUGCCUUACACAUGCAAGUCGAACGGCAGCAUGAUCUAGCUUGCUAGAUUGAUGGCGAGUGGCGAACGGGUGAGUAAUACAUCGGAACGUGCCCUGUAGUGGGGGAUAACUAGUCGAAAGAUUAGCUAAUACCGCAUACGACCUGAGGGUGAAAGUGGGGGACCGCAAGGCCUCAUGCUAUAGGAGCGGCCGAUGUCUGAUUAGCUAGUUGGUGGGUAAAGGCCCACCAAGGCGACGAUCAGUAGCUGGUCUGAGAGGACGAUCAGCCACACUGGGACUGAGACACGGCCCAGACUCCUACGGGAGGCAGCAGUGGGGAAUUUUGGACAAUGGGCGAAAGCCUGAUCCAGCAAUGCCGCGUGUGUGAAGAAGGCCUCGGUUGUAAGU